ACACCAUCAGUUGAACAUUAUAAUGGAAUGGGAUAACACAUGAAUUCAAUUAACACAUCACCACUACUGAUAUGUACAUCCCAUUGAAAAUUUCUAGUUUCCACCCUAGGCCUGGUAUUUUAACAGAUCCAAGCAGAUACAACAACAAAAUGCACUGGUUUUAGCAUAACCAAAACAUGGCUUAACCCUUUGUACAAACACCAACUCAGUUUCAUCUACUAAUUGACCAAAGCUAAAAGAGAAAAAAAUCAAAUGUAGCAAAGCAAACCAAACUAGCGGCAGAGUCUGAUAACUUUCAAAGAUAGAAAACUCCAUAUUUAACUAAAUACUAUGACAUAAAUUGUAAACUCAUUUAAAUAACUCCAUCUUCUUCCAUUUCAUAUGUCACAGUGAUGAGGAAUACCUGGUGACAACAGCAAAACAAACAGAACCAAAGAAAAUGAGGAAUCAGCAAUAUACAUCAGCAGAAAAUAGUACCAGCAACACCAAUUCAAACCAGGAAGAUGAAUAUGAGCAGGGGAAAACUGUCUCAAUCGAGCAAUAACCAAGAAACUUCAAAACCAAGCUUCAAACAACCAAAUCUAAUCCAUUCCAACACUAGAUCAACCAGGCAAUCUUCAGAAAUUGAAAGUCUACCAAAAUUCUAGAAAGAAAUGCCAUGGAAGAGUAAUUUUUCCUUUUUUUGUGUGUGUGUUCUCAGCCGUUUUGAUUUUUUCCAGUUUUUUC
rnacentral:lncRNA from 1 species